rnacentral:rRNA from 1 species
AGAACGAACGCUGGCGGCAUGCCUAAUACAUGCAAGUCGAACGAACUCUUCGGAGUUAGUGGCGCACGGGUGCGUAACGCGUGGGAAUCUGCCCCUUGGUUCGGAAUAACAGUUGGAAACGACUGCUAAUACCGGAUGAUGACGAAAGUCCAAAGAUUUAUCGCCAAGGGAUGAGCCCGCGUAGGAUUAGCUAGUUGGUGAGGUAAAGGCUCACCAAGGCAACGAUCCUUAGCUGGUCUGAGAGGAUGAUCAGCCACACUGGGACUGAGACACGGCCCAGACUCCGUACGGGAGCAGCAGUAGGGAAUAUUGGACAAGUGGG